GUAGGCCACACGCCGUGGGCGGAAAAAAGGUGACGUCGGGGUGAGUUGGCAGGAUGGGGACGAGGGACCGUGAGCUGGGUUGGGCGGCUCGUUUGUUUUCGUUCCUUAAAUCAUUGAUCCAUUUGAUAAAUUCCUCCCACCCCCCAAGAGAUACAAUCUCCUAUUCGUUGUAUCAUAUCACUUGUUUUUCAUGAAUCACUGCGUUUGAGCGUAGAGCACUUAUGUUUUUCUCUUUGUGUACCAGGUCCUUAAGAAGCUUAAUAAAUAUAUUUAUCGAAACACUUAUUUAUAAAUAGUAUAUCAUUUUUAUUUAUCAAUUGUCUUUUUAAAAUGUACUGAAGUCUGUACUUUAUUCAUACUGAUGUUUCUAGUUGGGUCAUGUUGGGCAGGUUACUUAGUCCCUUUAUGCUUUAGUUUUCUCACUUCUAAAACGGGAAUAAUAAUAGUGCCCACCUCAUAGACUAUUUGUGAAGAUUAAACAAGUUUAUAUAUAGCUAACACGUAUAUAGCAAUACACACACACAGAGCCCAGAGCUUGGGAGUCACAGAAGGCUUCUGAGAAGGGACCACUGAGCUGAGUGUUGCGGUUACUUACAACUCAUUAUUUUUUCAUGCUUCAUAAUUUCUCUUUAUAUUUGGCUUACUUGUCCUGGUUAUAUAACAAGAUUUCUGGUUGAAUGAUGAUUAUAAGCUUUUUGAGACUAGGAACCAUAUGUUAUUCAUCUUUGCCAUGAUAGAAAAUCAUCUGUCAGGAACAGGUGGGAAAUAAAAGGAGACAGUGAUCAAUGGUGUGGCGGGAGGCUGUCAGGAAUAACUUCAUAGAAGAAGUGAUGCUUGAACUGUUUUGAAAGAUGAGUAGGUGUUUGCCUGAAUGCCAAGAAAAGAUGUAGAGGGGUGAGGACAUUUCGGGCAAAGGAGGCAGUAUGAAUAGAGGUAUGGAAUCCAAAACAGUAUGAGCAGUUGGAGAGAUCCACAGGCAAUCAAGGGAUUAAGUUGGAGGUAGAAAGGGGCCAGAUCAUAGUCAGCCUUCAGUACAAUGAUAAGGUAGAUGUAAUCCCGAAGCAAUGAGAAGCAACUGGGCAGAUUUAAGCAGACUCAUGGUGUUAUCAGAUUUGUGUCUUGGGAGUAUCCUCUGGCUGCAGUGUAGAGGAUAGGUUGGAAGGGUAUAGGAAUGGAAUUGGAUCAACCGGAUAGGAGACUAUUGCUGGAUCCAUGGGAAAGAACAUGAGAGCCUGAACUAAGGGCAGAGGGAAGUUGAGGAAUCAACAUAGCAUAGCUGUCUGUUGGUUGCACGUGAGGUAAAAGGGACAAAUUAAAGAUGAUUCCUAAAUUUUUGACUUUGGAUACUUGGUGAAUGGAGUUGCUUGUGCUGAGAUUGGGAAUCCAAUAAUAUGAAUAUUUGUGGAAUGUAUUCUCUAUGGGGGCACUUGGGUAGAGAUUUUCUGUUUAUCUAUUUUAAUUCUCAUAACAAUCCAGAAAAUGGACUUAUUAUUUUUCUCAUGUUCAAUAUGAAGAAAUUAAAGCACCAAGAGGUUAAAGUAUAUUACUCAAGCUUCCAGGGCUGGAUUUAAAUUUAGUUCUGUUAGGAUCGAAACUAAUGUUCUCUUUCCCACAGGUAUUGUCUUCCAGGAGGAGAACUGGUUUUAGGAGAAAGAAAACGAGUUUGAUUUGGGAUACUUUGAGUUUUAUGAUGCCUGAGGGACAUACAUGUGGAGUUAUCACUAAGACGUUUGAAAGGAAAGGAUGCAUAUCUUCUUCAGAUUCUUAAAGGAGUUCAUGACUCUGAAAAGAGCAAGAACCACUGGUGUCAAGUAUAAAAGGAAAAGAGCCAAGGCUGAAUAAUGGCUUCCUGACAGAUGUGCAUGUCCUGAUCCCUGAAUCCUAUGGAUCGUUACCUUUCAAGGGCACCCAGUUCACUGUGGAAGAGGGAUGGUGACAGAGAAUGCUUGUAUAUUUCCCAACUGUGAAGAGAAUGCUUUAUGAGGCGUGUGUUGCUGGUUUGCAGAAAUGGCUGUUUUUUGUCAUCACUUGCUGGGCUAGAUCAGGUCCUCUUCUAUGACUUUUUAAAGACCUCUGUUCACACAGCUGCUUUGGCAAGUCAGGAAUCAAACUGACAGCCCAUUGGAAAGGCAUACCCUGUCACAAGUCUAAAGAGAAACAGAGUGACAGUUCCCAGGCUCAAGUGCAAGGCGUGCCGCUCAAUCUUCUUUGGCUGGCUAGGAUCUUGGUUGAUGCAGGGCGCCGAUGCCAGACAGCAGAGGGCCUGGAGUAACAAAAACAAGGCCCCGCAAGGUAAUUGGGACUGACAGACUGUUUGCCUAUCCCACAGACGUCUUUGCAACACGCCGCCAAAUUUAAUAUAUCGUAUGAGAGUCUGAGCACACACAUUUUUGCUCUGUUAAAAUUGUGAAACUUCCAUUAUUAUUAUUAUUGUUUAAUUUCUGAAUCUUUGGCACAAGUUUCUCAAUCCACUCUUUCUCUGGAUUUAUGACCCAAGGAAUGACAUGGAAAUCAUCUUGAGUUUUUUUUUCUUGUGUUAUAGCUCAUCCUGAACCAUCAAGGCAGGAAACACAGGCAGAAAUCCAAACUUCAUUAGAGCUGAAGAGAUGAAAGUACAAUUGAAUAUCUUUGAGGGAUCAUUCACAAUCAAUGUUUUUAACUUCUAUUAUUUCUGUACCUGCUGCUAAAUGAGAAGGGCAGACUGCAAACUUUGGAAUUAGCUGGGGCCGUAUAAUCUUCUCCAAGAUGAGGAUAUCAGAUCUCAAAAAUAAAUGGAAAGAAUGAUUUUUCAGAGGGAAUAGUCUGGGUAAAGAAUAAUGCUAUUUGUACCAGUAGCAGCGGGCAAGUCACACAGGAUUGAACCCCUUUAUCCUCCCCUCAAAUCGCACUCUGUGGAGGUAGUUCAGUGAAUCUCUGGAAUGACAGGUGUGUUAAUCCAUUCGAGCUGCUAUAACAAAAUAUCACAGCCUAGAUAGUUUACAAACAAUAGAAAUUUAUUUCUGAAGUUCGGGAGGCUGGGAAGUCCAAGAUUGAUGCUGGCAGAUUUGAUGUCUGGUGAGAGCCUGCCUCUUAGACUCUGUCUUUUCUAUAUAAUCUCACAUGGCAGAAGGGCUAAGGAUCUCUCUGUGGUCUCUUAUAAUGGCGCUAAUUCCAUUCAUAAGAGUUUCACCUAAUACCUAAUACCAUGGCUUUGGGGGUUAUGAUUUCAACAUAUGAAUUUAGGGGGGACAUAAAUAUUCAAUUUUUUGCAACAGGUUUCCUGGGUCGCUCAGAUUUUUUUUUUUUUAAGUUAGAGUUUAUUUUUACCCACCAAAAUAUAUAAUGAGUCAGAAUCCAGGAUUGGAUCUUAAAUGGUUGUGAAUAUGGAGCCCCAGGAGAAUUGGAACUUGACUUUUAAAAAAGGAGAGUAGCCUAUAGAAAUCACAGUUUUCUAGUUCUGUUGCUGACACAAUUUGUCCCAGAAAAAAGAAGGCAUCUACCACAAAUAUGGCAGCUGACCUUCAGAAUGGUGAGAGAAGGUGUGAGGAAUCCACCUGGCAAUUAGAUGUCUAUUCAGAAAGGUGGCCAUGCAGACAUGUCAUUCCAUUAAUCUGGAACUCUUCAUAGUAGUGUAGUCAACAGCCAUUUCCUUUACUUCUUUCUUACCACAGUAAAUUAGUUCCAUUUAGCAGUCUAAAAUCGUGGUGUUGAUAAGCUGCUGCAUUCUUUCUGGAGAUUCUAGAGGAGGUUCUGUUUGCCGCUCCUUUGAGUUAUUGGCAGAAUUCAGGUCCUUGUGGUUGUAGGAGUGAAAUCCCGCUUUCCUUGUGUGCCGUCAGUUGAGGGCCAUUCUAAUGGCGACUCAUAUUCCUUGACUCUUGGCUCCCUUAUCUUCAAAGCCUGCAAUGGUGGGUCUAGUCCUUCUGCUUGGAAUCUCUCUUCCUUCUUCUGUCUCAUCUCUCUAACUCAGUUUAGAAAAAUUCUAAACUGCUUUGAGUUUACUUUGCUUUGAGUACUGAUGAAAUUAGAUUUGACCCAUCCAGAUAAUCCAGGAUAAUCUCCCCAUCUCAAGGUCUGUACCCUUAAUGACACUCAUGAGGUCCCUUUUCCACAAAGGUAACAUAUUCAUAGGUUUUGAGUGAUUAGAGAGUGGAUAUCUUAGGGAGUGGGGGGCAUUAUUCUGCCUCUAAUAUUUAUCUUUUCACAUUAAAGAAGGCACAUUAUGAUCAGGCCUUUUAAUUUUUAUCUUGGAGUUCUCAUUCUCUGUUUCAUUUUCUAUCCCCAGCACAUCCAACGUAUCAACAGAUCUUUGUUUCCAUGCAACAAUCUUUAUAAUGCACUCCUGUUUCAUGCAUGAAUAACUUUUCUUUAUUUCAAUUUUUUCUCUUCUCUCCCUUCAAACCAAUGAUUUUUAUACUUACACAAUCUGUUAUUACAACUAUCAUUCUCAUAUCAGUUAUAUUUAGCUUUUGUCCCUACUUUUCUGUCAGUUGGUUUUGUUAACAUCCAAAUUUUCUCUAUUUUCAUCAGUGUAUGGCUUCUGCAUCCUAGGCUCUCAGAGAGAAUCAUUAUUUUAAGGCUUUAUAGAAAUGGAUUAAAAGAAAGAGGAGAAAUGCAAUAAUUUGAGAAACUUUCUGCUUUCCAGUAAUAGAUUUUAUUACUUAUUUUGUUUUCAUUUUCCUUUUUAUUAUAUUUUUAAUUAAAAAAUUAAUACCUACUCAUUCUAACAAUUGAUGCAAUAUUAAGUGUAUAAUAAAAUACGUAAUAAGUACUCAUUAACCCCAGCUAAUCCCAUACCUAGUUAAUGAAAGUUAGUAGUUUGUGUAUCCUGUGUAUCUUUCCACUUCUUUCUCAACGAUCAUAUAACUAUAUACAAAUACAUAGAAACUUUUCAUUUUCAUUUGCUGUAAUGGGUUGAAUUAUAUCCCUCUAAAAUUCAUGUAUUGAAGUCUUAACCCCCAGUACCUCAGAAUCUGACCUUAUUGGGAAAUAGAGUUAUUACAGAUGUAAUUAGUUAAGAUGAGGUAAUUAGAAUGGACCCUAAUCCAAUAUGAGUGAUGUCCUUAGGAAAAGGGACAUGCACACAGGGAAACUGCUCUGUGAAGGUGAAGGCAGAGAUUAGGGUGGUGCCUCUCAGGCCAAGGAAUGCCAAAGAUGGCCAGCAAACAACCAGAAGAUAGGCAAGAGGCAUGGGACAGAGUCUGUCUCACACAAUUCUUAGAAGGAGCCAACCUUGCCAACACCUUGUUCUUGGACUUCUACCCUCUGGAACUAUGAGACAAUAAAUUUCUGUUGUUUAAGGCUCUCAGUUUGUGGUGCUUUGUUAUGGCAGCCCUAGCAAACUAAUACGUCUGCCUUACAAAUAUGAGAUCGUAUUGCACGAAUUAUUUUAUGACGUGCUUUGUUCACUUAACCACAUGUCAUGAACAUCUCUUUAAUUAGCAUAUUUUAAGGAAGGGCAUUUUCACUUCGUGGAUAGGAAUGUGGAAUAUGGGGCUGGAGCUGCUUCUGGCCCCUUUCCUCAGGUCAGGAUUGGAUCUGGAAAGCAGUAGAAGUCAUGAAAUAGUUCCAGUUAUGAGAAAUGGACCAACAUGGGGAUGGCAUACCAGGCAAGGACUCAGAGUAGCCCCUAUGGGUUUACUUGUGCAGUCCCCUCGGCACCAGCACAGAAUUUGACUCAACAAGGAGAAAAUCUCCCUCACACUCCAUGUGCAUAUGUGAUACCACGACAUAAGCACUAGCUGAACAGUGUGAUAUGGAUCAAUGUUGGGCUCUGCUCCACGUGGUCACUCUGGGAGCCUGGCUUAUUCCCUUGUGUCACUCCACUAUCUUCUGGGACUUUGUUUCCCUCUGCAUUCAGCUACACAUAUGGGGAAAGUGAGAAAAUGUGGAGAAAGCAUACCCACUCUUAACUGCAUUCCCCAGAGGUGAUGCAGGUCACUUCUAUUUACAUUUCAUUGGCAGGAACUCAGUCCAGUGAUUCCUUCUAACUGUGGGGGAGGCUGGGAAAUGUAGUUUGGUGGUGGGACCAGAAGAAGCAGAGAGCUCUCUUCCACAAUGUGCAAUCAUUUUCAAAUAAAUAUAAAGAAAUAAAAUGGGCUUGAUGCUAAAAACAAUAUAAAACAUAUUUAAUAUUUACAUUCUUACAGUGCAUACUGUUAUGAAUAUCAAGUCUGUUUGUACCAUAGAUUGAUUCAUUUAUUUAUUCAACAGAUAUUUAUUGAGUGCCCACCAUGUGCCACUUUGCUAGACACUGGUAGUACACUGGUGAGCCAGAUAGCUAUAGUCCCUGAAUUCAUCAAGUUAACAGUUUAGUGGUACAGACAUACGCUAAUUAAUGUGUAAUUUCAAAAUAUCUAGAUGUACUUUUACAGUACUUCUGGGUAGUACAAUGCCAUAUAAAGAAUAUUUUCUCAAUUUCCCUUCAAUCUCAUAAUAAUUUCAUAAUAAUUUCUUAAUUAUUUAAUUAAUUUUAUAUUUCUUUAUCCUCCAGGCACAAUAAUUUUCAGAGUAUUUAGUGGGUGGUUGUCAUUUCCUAGAGAUAGUUAAUAGAAAUGGAGGGUUGUCUUUAUUCAGAGUUGAGUUUGAGCCAAUGCCAUCAUUUUAUACCCUUUGAUAAGUGUUUUUGAUGAAACUCCUUUUAUUCCAUUCUUUUCAUACUCACCAUGAAGAUUUUAAAAAACCUUCCUAUUUUGCAAUUUGGGCCUCUCCUCUCGCAAAACUACCUCUAGAGGUGAAUAACUCGAUCUGCUGGGACAGCUUAAGAGGUUCUGGUAGAGAAAUGGUGAGAACAAAGCCUUUCUGGGAAUGGGCUGAUUGAUCUCUCACCCCAGGACAGGUUCUCAGAAACCUCAUGUGGCUGAAUCUGCCCUACACACAACCAGCCACAAUCCCUUUAGAUGAGGUCUCCUCAAGGAAUGCCCCAGCGUGAAAAGGGAUUCAGGGCGUUUUUCCACAGCGCUUGCCUGUGCUACAUGAUUUCACUAUCAGAACAGGGAAGGCUAGAUUAGGCCAGUUAGAUACACAAGUUUGGGAAUGUCCUAAUGGUUCAAGUAUCUCAUGCCUUUUAUUUUUGGAGGCACACAGAUAUGAGAAGGCAUCCCUAUGUAACUAUGUCAUAAGAGAGAGAUUGUCAUUCCUCACAGGCUCUUCUUGAGUGUGUCCUGGCUCCCUGGGGCUGAGGGGAUUAGGGGUGAGGGUGGGGGCAGUUGUAAUCUUGCCUUCAAAAUUAAUCGAAGAGCUACAGGUGUCAUUUGACUCUACUUGAUCUCCCUGGAGGUCCCAGCAGUCUGGGGGCAAAAUUGAAAUCUAUGGAGAUUCCUAGAGAAUCUUCUCUCCAAGGCCCAAAUGAGAAUCUAAAUUUACAGUAAUCCUUUAAGAGGAAAAAUAACCCCAAAGGCCUUUGAUCUCUCUCUGCGUACAAUUGUAACCACCAUGAAAUUUUUUAAAAUCUUGAAUAUUUCUUGAAUACCAAGAAUUCAGUGACCCCAAACUUUGCUGAUGUUCACAACUGACACUGAAUGCAAGCAAAAGAACCAAAGCUUAGAAAAAAAGAAGGCCUCUGCCCAAAUGAUCCCAGCAUGGUGCUGCAUCCCCCUUUUUCCAGAAAAGAAGCCGGAAAUGAUUAAACUCUAGUCUAACGAUUAGCAUUUCAUUGUGAGUUUUUCUGUCUGACAUGUUGGAAAUAUUGCUUAUGAAAAGAUGCCAGUCCAUAAGGAAUGAGAUAGCCUGUCUGUGGAAUAUUAAAGAUGAUAAGACUAUGUCUCGUGUUAAUUGAAACAUUUUUGAGAUACAUCUCAUCUCCAGAGAAAUAAUUCUUUCUGUAGCUUCCAGAGUUGCCGCUCACUUUUAUUACAUUUAUGGGCACACACACACACACACACACACACGCAAACAACACAAUUUAUAUUUAAGUGAUGGAAAUGGAAAAUUCAGUACCUGGGGUGUUUGAAAGAUGUUUCCAAUGAAAAUUUUAAAUUUCUUAGAUAUUUCUUAGGUAUUUUGGGGGAAAUCAAUCACAUGACAAAUUGUUUCAUGCUAGAGGAAUAUAGUGGUUGUCAACUUGCAACUACUUGUCUCAGAAAUUAAAGGAUAAAGCUUUUCCAUUGGAAUUUAUCUGUUGUCACACGGGAUUCCCUAUUUUCUGUUUGCGAAGAGCAGUUCCUUUUUAAAUCUAAAGUAAAAUUCAGAAUAAACCCCUCUGAGAGUGAAGAGACUCAGUGUUAUUUGGAAUAAAUAGUUGCUGUUAUUGUUCAAGCAUAGACUAUUAAAACAUAUACUUGUCCAAUAUUUCUGGAUCCCUAAAAUUGUGAGCUUUGCUCAGACUAUAGAUCAUUAUCAUCAUCAUCAUCAAUGGGGACAUAAAGGAGAAAAAAACAAACGGGGUAUUCUUAACUUUUUCUUUAGCAGAAUUGACUCCUCUUGGCUUCUUGAAUGGUUUCUCUUUUUUGGAGACACCUAUUACAUGAUUUUAAGCUUACUUACAAAAUUCUGUUACUUAGAUGGUUUUGGAAAUUGUUUGCUAUAACUAUUCUUUUUACUAGAUGAGUAUCAUUUGUGGCUCCUUAGAAGCCAGAAAAGUAAUUCUGAUAUGUUCUAUGGUGUAUCUAUGUAUGUAUGUAAUCUGAGUGUGUGUACGUGUGUGUGUUUGUAUGGCAUGUGUGCGCAAUUUCCAUGGGCUAAAACCCAGAAGUGGAAAAUUUAAUUUUUAUUUAUUGAUGUUUAAUGUCUGCCAGGUGGAUGGCCAAAUCUUCCAAAUUAUGAACUUUUGUAUGUAAGUUAAAACAUUCGUCAAAGAUUAUAGAGGUUUUUCUCAAAUGUUUCAAUAUGUAGGCUUUCUGCUGAGUUAGCUAGUCAUCUGAAAAUCUAGUCAGAACAGUCGUCUAUCAUAAAUCCUGCUGGUGGGCCUGACUAUGAAACUUGUCGCUCCAUCUGACACUCUCUUGCCCUCAGAUUCAGGCAGGAUGAUCCAUUUUCAACCAGCUUCUUGAAGAGGGCAGGGCAGUGGGGCCUAGAUUUAGAGCUGAAGACUUGGUUUUGAGAAUUGCAUCAACGUUUUUAUUAUUUGUAUGUUUUAGGAAACUCACUUAUCUUUAUUUUUUGACACUUAAUCUCUUUUAAUCUUUUCAUAAAUAAUGGAAAAUGAUAACCUACUGUGCAUGAUUUUAUCAGGAUUAAAUGAAAAAAGUGGUAAAAUUACUUUCUCAUAAAGUUCUCAAGAGAUGCUGGGUGUUAAUUUUUGUCUUGAAAUUUAAAAUCACAUGUCCCACUUGCCCUGUUCUUCAGUUCCUAUUUAUUCACUCAGCAGAGAUAUACUGAAUGGCUCCUAAGUGUCAGAUCCUGGGCAGAUCCUGGGGUGUGGUAGUCACUUCCUACCAGGGGCUAAUAGUCCAGUGGGAAAUGUGACUUUAAAGAAAUACAUUAACAAGUAUGUAAUCGUGCCUGGUGAUAAAAGCUGAGUUGGAAGAGUCCUUGUUUCUGGGAGAGGAUGUAAUGGACAUUUAAUUUCGAUUGUAGGUCAGGGAAGGGCAGUUUAAAGAACUGGCAUCCCAUUUGAUGUCAGAUUGUAAGGAAAAGCUGGGCAGGUGAGGGGAGGGUCAACAUGUCUUUCCAGCAGACAGAAUACCAGUGCUAUUACUCCAGGGUGAAAAGCAAGUCUAGUGAAUUGAAAGAAUUGAGUGAUGGAUGCUGUGGCUGAAGGGUAGUGACUUGGUGGUGGUGGUGGUGGUGGUGGUGGUGAAUGAGAGAGGAUAAGGCUGGAAAUGCAGACGUGGGCUAGACCAUAUUAAAGAUUUGGAUUUUAUUGCAAAUUUGCUUGGAGCCCAUUAAAGUGUCUGGAACAGGUGAGAGGCAUGGGCCGAUUUAUGUUUUAGAGUAUAAACCGAAAAUAGUAAGCCGUCUCCACAGCCAUGCCUGUAUUACUUUUCACAGUAGCUUAAUGACUCUUCUGAAAUACAGACACUCAUCAUAAACAUUCAAAUAGUUUUCAAAAGUACACAAAGGAAGGCAAAAUUCAUUGUGAAUCCCACCAUUCCGAGAAAAUCACUCAAUGUCUAGGUGAACUUUCUUUCACACGGUAUGCACAUAGGCUUACAAUUUUAUAUUCAGAUGAUCAAACUAUAUUGUUUUAUCCUCCACUUACCUUAAUAAACACUCAACAAUGUACUGUGGUCAUAUUUCUGUGUCUACAGUGAUGUACAUCAAUAUGCUUGAUGGAUGCUUAGUUGUCCGCUGUAGUGAAUUACAAUAAUUGGCUUAAUCAAUUCCCUAUUGAUGACUUUUGUCUGUUUCCAAUUUUUUGCUAAUAUACCCAUGUGAUGGGGCAUCUUUGUGCAUAGAUGUAUUUCAUGUAUGCGAUUAUCUCAUUAAAGCAAAUGUUGAAAAGGGAAAAUGCUGGAUUAAUGAAUUUGUAAAUUUUGCAUUUUCAUGCAUAUUGCCAGUCAUCUGGAAUUUACUUUAGAGAAUCAUGUGAAGAAGAAUCAGAAUUUUUUUUUCCCUAGAUGAAUAGUCAGUUGUCCUAUUCACUGAAAAAAUAGCAUGGGAUUCUAAGGCAACACCGACACCGAUUUUACUCUUUGCAAACUUAAGGCUGAUUUUGCUCAUUCCUUUGAUUUAUCUGUGUACAUGUCCAUUCCUCUUACUAGAUUGUAAACCUCUUUUAGUGAUAGUAAUGUCUGCUUUGGGCCACCCCAAGCUCCUGUGCCAGCUUGGCUACUUACUAACUCCAGGACUAAAGACAAUGGGCUGUUAUAGUGGCUGUAAUUUGUCUUUAAAAUACUUUAGCAUAGAUGAUAAUAUGUAUGAGUGAGUGGGUGUAAACUAGUUUUAAUCCAUGCCUAGUUAACAUUUGAAAUAUCAUAAUGCAGUGUACACACCAUAAGAGUACUUGGCUAGCAUUUGAAAGACUCUGAUCAGGACUUCACUUUCUGAAGGCCUUGGGUAUUAACCUUCAACUGCUGCUAUCUCAAUCUACAUUAGAGGAUUUUCAAUUAACAUAAGAACUGCUGGAAAUUAUAUUUCACUGGUGAAAUGUGUCAUGUACCAGAUGUGCAGGUUGCUUAGAAAUACUAUGUAGGCCCUUGGCACCUCCACCCUUGAUGAAAAUUAGAGGUACCCUGGCUAUUCUUUUUCUCUGUGCCUACCAUUGUUCAAACCCUAUGCGCCUGAUCCAAAGAGAUUCCUGCUUCUAUGGGAUUGCCUCCCCACCUGCCCUGAGUGGCUCUUUCAUGCAAGGUCCUCUUUGGAGGGGCUGAGGGACACAGAGUUGGGACAGGAGUGAGCUUCCAAGGACAAAUUUUAUAAUACUUUCCAUAGCCACUUGGUAAUAACUAUUUGGAGGUCUUGCUGAAUUUGGUCUGAGACUGGCUUUCUUUGUACCACACAGUAACCUGGAACAAGAUCGUCGAGAAGGCCUGCAGUCUUCGCACUAUGCACCAGAAAGAAUCUGCUAGUUGUGCAGGCCAGUUCACAGCACUGGGAAUGCCUGGGAGGUCGCUUUCUUUCCCUCUCUUUGUAAAAAUGUUUAGCCAGGGGACUUUCAGUGACUCAUAACUGCUGGGCCCCCUUGGGCAGCCUCUGGGCUGAAUUGAGGUUGGUCGUAAACUUUCCCCAUGCUCCUACCCUUCUCAAAAUAAAAAGCCCAUAGCAAAAAUAUUGGCAGGUAGUGCAAAUAUUACUACACUUUUUCAUGGGGAGAUGAGGAGUUUGUCAAACCACAGGCAAAGCUUAAAAACCUUGCCUGUAGACUUCUUUGUUCUCUCUCCCCAGUCUCGUCUCCCCUCCCCCACCCUUAGGGUUACUAUUUACUAUUUCUUUUCUUUCCAUUUUCUCACUUUUAUAAGGCUUCUAAAAUCCCAUUUAUUUAUAGUCCAUACCCUUGCAGCAAAACAAAGUUGUUGCUCAUAUAUGCCCCUUGGCACUGUAGAGCUAUUCUUGUUAUAAAGGAGGAGGACUGAAUCCAUUCCAUUUAUAGACCCUCAGGCAAGACGUUUCAGAAGGAUGGUGCAUUCCUCACCCAGAGCAUUUCAGAGCGUGUUUUCCCCAGAAUCCUGCUUCAUGGCUGCCUGGCCCUCUACCACGCACUCAUGUUGCCUCCACCCAUCUCAGGGCAACUAGUCUUUUAGCAGUGUGGAAACAGAAUAAGGCAAAUGUGUACUGCAGGGGUGUGUCCCUGGGAGAGGAAGUGUUUUGCAGAGCAUAUUUGAGUCUGCGUUCCAUUUCCUUCAGAGUGGUGUCAGCAAACAAUACCAAGUGUGAAAAAGACAUUUUGGACUGUGUUUACAGGGCCCUUGGCUGUACUUAUUGUUUUAGAGGUGUGAGUUUAACUACUGUUAAAAUCUUUUGAUUAGCCCAUGGAGGCCAUGCCACUUUAGGCCCAAGUAGGGCAGGUCUGGAGAGAACUGGCAGAGAGCCACGAAUGUUCUCCCCUUGACUCCUGGGGUGGCCUUAACCCUUUAACUUCUGUGCUCCAAGUGCUCACUGUUCACAAGUUCUUCGACUUUUCAGGAAGUGCAUUAGGGUUUGCACUUUGGUUAUAAUCAUUACCUUUCUUGACUACUGAGUUUAUUUUUGAUUCUUUUAAUCCUGCAAGGUGGAUAGUAUGUAGCGUGGGGAAGUAGUAUGGUCUAGUGGUUAAGGGCACAGGGAAAUAAUCUUGAUUCUGCCACUAGCCAACUCUUUACCUUUUGGUAAAUACAAACUCUUUCUAGAUCUUAGUUGCUCCAUCUGUAAAAUGGGUAUAAUAAUAUUUAUGUUAUAGUAUGGUUAUGAAAUACAAAUGAGAUAAUAUACAUAAAGUGUCUGGUAUAUAAUUCAAUAAAUAUUAGUUAUCAUCCUCAGCAUCAUCCAAGAUUAUAGAGUUUGAAAGUGGGGCAGCUAGGAUUCAAACUCAGACUUCACUGCCAAGCUUAUGAAUAGUCGUGUUUUAUAACAAAGAUAACAGGUAAUCAGGGCUAACAUUUUAUACUGAGCUCUAAAAAUAUUUGCUGGGUACUAUUUUAAGCACUUAUACAUAUUAAUCUCCUUUAUAGUCAUGUCAACCCUCUGAGAUUGGUACAGUUAUUACCAUUAUCCACAUUUGAAGGAGGAGAAACUGAGGCCCAGGCAGGUUAAGUAACUUGCUCAAGACUCCUGGUGUCGUUAGUGAAAGUGCCAUCUGACCCAAGAGUGCAGGUUCUUAGCCACUAUGUGCUCUCUCUCUAUGUACAUCCCAUUCUAUGACCUGAUACUUUAUUUUUCAGAAGUCUUUCCUAAGUAUUUGUGGCUUCUCUCCAGUGUGGGGAGGGUUCCAGUGUGAGAGCCUAAGUCAGGUAAGUGUGCCUGCAGAGCUGGCUGCAAGGGUGCACCAGGGUUCUCUUAGCAAACACAAGGAAUGUAUCCUCCUGUUGGAAGAAAGAAUGAUGGACAAUUCAUGGAACAUAGUUUGGUCCAAACCUGGUGACUGUCAGGGAAGGACAAUUUGGGUAGAUUUACAAGUAACCAGAUUGCUCCUUGAUUUAGCUUCAUAGCUAAUGCCUGAAGGGAAUUGGGGGCCAUAUAAAACAAUGAUAUUAACAAUUCUCAUUUGUUAUAGCACCAUAUAAAUUAUCUUCUUUAUCAUGAUAAUCAUUUGAGGUGGAUGUUAUAUUUAUGCGCAUUUUCAGAUGAGAAAUCUGAGGCACAGAGAAGUUUUAAAAACAUGCCCAUUACCACCACAGUGCUGGUCGUUAUGGAGUGAGGAUGUUAACCUCCACACGCAGACUCCCAGGCCCACCCCACUUCUGUGGAUGGGCCAGAGGCGUCCCAGCAGCCAGGCCUCCGGGGAGGCUGCUCUUCCAAGCAGGUGCUCCAGGGCAUGUUCUGGAAGAGUCAGGGUUUAACAUGAGGCAACAGGAUGUAAGGAAGGUUUUUAAUACUCGAGGUCUUAUCCGUAAGAGAAGUAACUAAAUAGAGCUGACUAAAGGGACCCCCUUAGUCUCUUCUGUCCCAAGAUGGGGUGGCAUGAGGAAACACUCAUUGGAGAAGAAAUGAUGGAGUCAGAGGCUCUGAUUGGAGGAUCACACUCUUGUUUCUCUGCAUGACCGAGAAGGCCGUGCCAUGAGUAAAUGAACCACUUUAGAGAAGGCAUGUUCUGUAAUUUGUUCUAGUUUGAGUGAGAACAAUUUUCUGAGAGUAGAAAAAUUGUAAGGGAGGUUUUGCUGUCCUUUGUACCAGGGAAAUGGUAGUAAUUCAGUGAUGUGGCUGGAGGAUCACGUUUCUUUUCUCUGGGACUUCAUUCUGACUUAAGUGAGGGUAGUUCUUAAUUAUUAAGAUAAUGUCAGACCAACAAGUCAGCUAGCUCUAGCGUGGUCAUUAAUAAUUCUGUCAGGGGCCACCCGGUGGCACAGUGGUUAAGUGCGCAUGUUCUGCUUUGGCGGCCCGGGGUGCGCCAGUUCGGAUCCCAGGUGCAGAUAUGGCAC